UUUCAAGACCUGCAUACUCACAGCAAAACAGUAGCCGCAGAAGAUGUAGUUAUUUUACAGCAUAUUUUACAAGUAGUCCAAGGUCUUCGAAAAUGGAACUUCCAAGGCUUGAGAAGAUGGGACGGAGCAGCAGGAUUGGAAGUGUUUCUACUUUUGAAGAUAAGUCUUGAGAGUACUGGGCUUUCUACUUGAUAAGAGAACUGACUGAACUCUACCUGAAAAGAUUAACUCCAUGCUGGGAGCCACUGAGAAGCCAUGCUCUCAGAUUCAGGGAGGAGGAGUUGGGAAUGAUGAAGCUCCCUGAGUUCUAUGUCAAGAGGUCCUUCAUGAUAGGAAGCCUGAAGGGUGUUAACCCUGAGAGGUGGAUGAGGUUUGGGCACCACACCUGUCUUGGCCAAGCUGGUGCUAUGAUGAUAGCUUUUUCUCCUCAGCACAACUUGAGGGAGGUCUUUAGGGCUAGCGGUAUAGGUGGCUAAGCAUAAAGAAGGAUACGGGGACGUGGUGUUAUCAGGGCAUCCCUAGGAGAGUUGUGACCGUAACCUCCCUUGGAGCCGAACAGACAACAUUUUGCGUUGUUUGUGUUCACACAGAGGUCUAUGCUGGUAUACUUCAGGUCAGGCAGGUGCUCUGGAAGACACCUGCUUAUGAUUUUGGCAGAAGUUUCUGCUUAGGGAGUUUGCAAUUAUAUUAUGGAGGUCUGGCAGAUAGACUUCUGAUUUCUAUCCAAUGAGAAAUGCACCAGUUCCACAACUUUAGUGACACUGUGCAUAAGGAUUGGGAUCUUCCUGAACCCUGGUAAUACAUCACUGCCCUAUUGUCCAGCAUUACUCUGAUUGGGUGACCUCAUGUGGCCUUGAGGAAAUGUUAGCAAGCAUAUCUACUGUUCUUAGCUCCAUGAUAUUGAUAUGUAGUGCCAAUUCCUAUGCUGACCAUUUGCCCUGUGCUUUGUCUCCCUGUAGGUGAGCUUCCCACCAUAACAGACACAUCUGUUAUGAGGGUCUUCAAAGAUGCUGGAUGUAUGAAUGGGGUUCAAACAGUGUCUUUCCACCAUAUAAGAGAGUCUAACACCUUCCGAGGCACUGACGUGUGUCUGGAGAAGAUUGUCUGUUUGGGGUAUACACUACUCUUAGUCACGUCUGGAAGCAACUGAGGUGUAUCCUUGCAUGGGGAAUCACAUAUGUGGUGUCCAACAUGUGCCCAACAUCUGUAGGCAAAUCCUCAGGUUAUUUGUGGGCUGAACUGUAAUGUUGAGAUUAGAUGGGAUAUGGUGGAGAAUCUCUCUUUGGGAAGGUAAGCUCUUGCUAUUUGGAGUGUAGAGUAGCUUCUAUAAAGUCUAUUCUCUGUACUAAAGUUAGCAUGGAUUUCUUGUGGCUGAAACAUGGGUCCAGAGAUUUGAAUAGUGUUAAUGACCUGGACAUUGCCGACUGGACCUCUUUGGGUGAUUGGCCUCUGAGAAGCCAGCCAUCCAAGUAUGGGAAUGCUGAUAUUCCCCACUGGCAGAGCCAAGUCACUAUCACUGAGAGAAUCUCUGAACUGCUCUUGGGGCCACGGAGAGUCCACAGGGGAGAACUCGAUAAUGAUAGUUAUCCACCCCAUUACAAAACACAGGAAGUGCUUGUGAGAGGGGUGGAUAGUUACAUAAAAGUAAGCAUUCUCUAGGUCAAGGGCCAUGAACCAGUCUCCUGGGUCUGAGGAUGGGAUUACGGUAGCUAGUGUCACCAUUCUGAAGUGUUAUGCUAGGACGCAAUUGUUCAAGAUCCUGAGCGCAACGGUUGGUCUCCAUCCUUCAUCUUUCUUGAGAACAAGGAUGUAACUGGAAUAGAACCUUCUUCCGAUGAACUCUGGUAGAACCAGUUCUGUUGUUCACAGGAGAAGACAAUGAACUUCUUGACUUAGGAGUUCCUCAUGAGAAGGGCCAUGAAGGAGGAUGGGGAGAGGGUUGGGAAGAGGGAUGGAAAAGAAGUGGAUAGAGUAACCCUCUUUGACAUUCUCUAAUAUCCACCUGUCUGAGGUAAGAAAUUCCCAGGCUAAGUAGUGGGACACUCAAUCUCCCAAGAGGGGGUAGUCGCACAACAGCUGAUUCGGAGUGGAAUGGAUUGCUUGAUGCCCUUGACCAAGGUAUCAAAACUGCCUCUUAGAAGCAGGAGCUGAUAGAGUAAAAGUAGGGGUGCGUGGCCUGUGCUUUUGCAGUUUGGGUUUUCUUCGGAAGGGCUCUUGAAGUUUAGGGAAAGUGUGCUGUUGGUACUGGAAUGGUCUCAAUCUUGAGUGGUUUGGGAUCUAAUAAAGCACUUUUUUGUUGCAGGCACAUAAAUCCCCACUGAUUGAGCGUCUGGAGAGAAGAGUCCAUAUUUUCACUGAAGAGCUUAGGCUCUUUGAAUGGGAGAUCUUCCAUGGUAUUUUGAAAUUCUGGAAGACUGGAGAACUGGAGCCAGUAUGCUUUUCUCAUGACCACCAUUGUGACAUGGACUUUCGGAGGCUGUGUCAGCAGCUUCUAGAGUAGCUUGUAGGGAGGUUUUUGCAACCAACUGUCUUUCAGCAAUGGCAGACAGAAAAUGAUUUUCUGGUCUUGUGACAAGUUGCUCAAUAAAAUGUAUAUAUUUGGA